rnacentral:rRNA from 1 species
UUAAGUUAUUAAGGGCGCACGGUGGAUGCCUUGGCACUAGAAGCCGAUGAAGGACGUUACUAACGACGAUAUGCUUUGGGGAGCUGUAAGUAAGCUUUGAUCCAGAGAUUUCCGAAUGGGGAAACCCAGCAUGAGUUAUGUCAUGUUAUCGAUAUGUGAAUACAUAGCAUAUCAGAAGGCACACCCGGAGAACUGAAACAUCUUAGUACCCGGAGGAAGAGAAAGAAAAUUCGAUUCCCUUAGUAGCGGCGAGCGAAACGGGAAGAGCCCAAACCAACAAGCUUGCUUGUUGGGGUUGUAGGACACUCUAUACGGAGUUACAAAGGACGACAUUAGACGAAUCAUCUGGAAAGAUGAAUCAAAGAAGGUAAUAAUCCUGUAGUCGAAAAUGUUGUCUCUCUUGAGUGGAUCCUGAGUACGACGGAGCACGUGAAAUUCCGUCGGAAUCUGGGAGGACCAUCUCCUAAGGCUAAAUACUCUCUAGUGACCGAUAGUGAACCAGUACCGUGAGGGAAAGGUGAAAAGCACCCCGGAAGGGGAGUGAAAUAGAACCUGAAACCGUGUGCUUACAAGUAGUCAGAGCCCGUUAAUGGGUGAUGGCGUGCCUUUUGUAGAAUGAACCGGCGAGUUACGAUUUGAUGCAAGGUUAAGCAGUAAAUGUGGAGCCGUAGCGAAAGCGAGUCUGAAUAGGGCGUUUAGUAUUUGGUCGUAGACCCGAAACCAGGUGAUCUACCCUUGGUCAGGUUGAAGUUCAGGUAACACUGAAUGGAGGACCGAACCGACUUACGUUGAAAAGUGAGCGGAUGAACUGAGGGUAGCGGAGAAAUUCCAAUCGAACCUGGAGAUAGCUGGUUCUCUCCGAAAUAGCUUUAGGGCUAGCCUCAAGUGAUGAUUAUUGGAGGUAGAGCACUGUUUGGACGAGGGGCCCCUCUCGGGUUACCGAAUUCAGACAAACUCCGAAUGCCAAUUAAUUUAACUUGGGAGUCAGAACAUGGGUGAUAAGGUCCGUGUUCGAAAGGGAAACAGCCCAGACCACCAGCUAAGGUCCCAAAAUAUAUGUUAAGUGGAAAAGGAUGUGGCGUUGCCCAGACAACUAGGAUGUUGGCUUAGAAGCAGCCAUCAUUUAAAGAGUGCGUAAUAGCUCACUAGUCGAGUGACACUGCGCCGAAAAUGUACCGGGACUAAACAUAUUACCGAAGCUGUGGAUUGUCCUUUGGACAAUGGUAGGAGAGCGUUCUAAGGGCGUUGAAGCAUGAUCGUAAGGACAUGUGGAGCGCUUAGAAGUGAGAAUGCCGGUGUGAGUAGCGAAAGACGGGUGAGAAUCCCGUCCACCGAUUGACUAAGGUUUCCAGAGGAAGGCUCGUCCGCUCUGGGUUAGUCGGGUCCUAAGCUGAGGCCGACAGGCGUAGGCGAUGGAUAACAGGUUGAUAUUCCUGUACCACCUAUAAUCGUUUUAAUCGAUGGGGGGACGCAGUAGGAUAUGCGAAGCGUGCGAUUGGAUUGCACGUCUAAGCAGUAAGGCUGAGUAUUAGGCAAAUCCGGUACUCGUUAAGGCUGAGCUGUGAUGGGGAGAAGACAUUGUGUCUUCGAGUCGUUGAUUUCACACUGCCGAGAAAAGCCUCUAGAUAGAAAAUAGGUGCCCGUACCGCAAACCGACACAGGUAGUCAAGAUGAGAAUUCUAAGGUGAGCGAGCGAACUCUCGUUAAGGAACUCGGCAAAAUGACCCCGUAACUUCGGGAGAAGGGGUGCUCUUUAGGGUUAACGCCCAGAAGAGCCGCAGUGAAUAGGCCCAAGCGACUGUUUAUCAAAAACACAGGUCUCUGCUAAACCGUAAGGUGAUGUAUAGGGGCUGACGCCUGCCCGGUGCUGGAAGGUUAAGAGGAGUGGUUAGCUUCUGCGAAGCUACGAAUCGAAGCCCCAGUAAACGGCGGCCGUAACUAUAACGGUCCUAAGGUAGCGAAAUUCCUUGUCGGGUAAGUUCCGACCCGCACGAAAGGCGUAACGAUUUGGGCACUGUCUCAACGAGAGACUCGGUGAAAUCAUAGUACCUGUGAAGAUGCAGGUUACCCGCGACAGGACGGAAAGACCCCGUGGAGCUUUACUGUAGCCUGAUAUUGAAAUUCGGCACAGCUUGUACAGGAUAGGUAGGAGCCUUUGAAACGUGAGCGCUAGCUUACGUGGAGGCGCUGGUGGGAUACUACCCUAGCUGUGUUGGCUUUCUAACCCGCACCACUUAUCGUGGUGGGAGACAGUGUCAGGCGGGCAGUUUGACUGGGGCGGUCGCCUCCUAAAAGGUAACGGAGGCGCUCAAAGGUUCCCUCAGAAUGGUUGGAAAUCAUUCAUAGAGUGUAAAGGCAUAAGGGAGCUUGACUGCGAGACCUACAAGUCGAGCAGGGUCGAAAGACGGACUUAGUGAUCCGGUGGUUCCGCAUGGAAGGGCCAUCGCUCAACGGAUAAAAGCUACCCCGGGGAUAACAGGCUUAUCUCCCCCAAGAGUUCACAUCGACGGGGAGGUUUGGCACCUCGAUGUCGGCUCAUCGCAUCCUGGGGCUGUAGUCGGUCCCAAGGGUUGGGCUGUUCGCCCAUUAAAGCGGUACGCGAGCUGGGUUCAGAACGUCGUGAGACAGUUCGGUCCCUAUCCGUCGUGGGCGUAGGAAAUUUGAGAGGAGCUGUCCUUAGUACGAGAGGACCGGGAUGGACAUACCUCUGGUGUACCAGUUGUCGUGCCAACGGCAUAGCUGGGUAGCUAUGUGUGGACGGGAUAAGUGCUGAAAGCAUCUAAGCAUGAAGCCCCCCUCAAGAUGAGAUUUCCCAACUUCGGUUAUAAGAUCCCUCAAAGAUGAUGAGGUUAAUAGGUUCGAGGUGGAAGCAUGGUGACAUGUGGAGCUGACGAAUACUAAUCGAUCGAAGACUUAAUCAA